rnacentral:tRNA from 1 species
GGGGUUGUGGCUCAGCGGCAGAGCGCUCGCCUAGCACGUGCGAGAAGCUGGGUUCAAUCCUCAGCACCACA